AGUGAACGCUGGCGGUAGGCCUAACACAUGCAAGUCGAACGGCAGCACAGUAAGAGCUUGCUCUUACGGGUGGCGAGUGGCGGACGGGUGAGGAAUACAUCGGAAUCUACUUUUUCGUGGGGGAUAACGUAGGGAGACUUACGCUAAUACCGCAUACGACCUACGGGUGAAAGCAGGGGAUCUUCGGACCUUGCGCGAUUGAAUGAGCCGAUGUCGGAUUAGCUAGUUGGCGGGGUAAAGGCCCACCAAGGCGACGAUCCGUAGCUGGUCUGAGAGGAUGAUCAGCCACACUGGAACUGAGACACGGUCCAGACUCCUACGGGAGGCAGCAGUGGGGAAUAUUGGACAAUGGGCGCAAGCCUGAUCCAGCCAUACCGCGUGGGUGAAGUAGGCCUUCGGGUUGUAAAGCCCUUUUGUUGGGAAAGAAAAGCAGCAGGUUAAUACCCCGCUGUUCUGACGGUACCCAAAGAAUAAGCACCGGCUAACUUCGUG
rnacentral:rRNA from 1 species